rnacentral:rRNA from 1 species
UCUGCAACUCGACUCCAUGAAGCUGGAUUCGCUAGUAAUCGCGCAUCAGCCAUGGCGCGGUGAAUACGUUCCUGGGCCUUGUACACACCGCCGUCAAGCCAUGGAAGCCGGGAGUGCCUGAAGUGUGCAACCGCAAGGAGCGCCCUAAGGUAAAACUGGUGACUGGGGCUAAGUCGUAACAAGGUAGC